rnacentral:lncRNA from 1 species
UUCAAAACUGCCUUCAGUCUUGAGCAGAGCAAGCAAAAGCAAAGCUCAUCCUGGCCACAGAGAGAUAUUGCCACAUGGACCGUCUUUGAAAUAACAAUCUUGGUUUCUCACUUUGCCUAACAGCUUCUGUUUCAGGCCCUUUUGACCCAGUUUCCACAUAGCUUGAGAACUCUUGCUCGCUUUACUUUGUGUCUGCAAUAUGGUUCACUCUGUUCAGAGAUUUCCACUUGACCUUUCCAGUUUAACUUGCUUCUUUGCCAUCAGCCAACCAAAGGGCAAGCAUUGGAUAUGCUUAAGGUGUCAGGGUGCUAAUGUGGGCACCAUUUAGCCAGUGGAUGUGCAGCCCUGCGGGAGCCUGAGGAAGGAUGGGAGGAUGUACAGCUUGCUGGUAGAAGGCAGUGCAUUUCAGAGCUUGAAGGCUUUGCAUGGAAGAGCCUGUGCCAGGGAAUAUUAAAUAUUAUUCCAUGUUCAGAAAUAAAAGUCUGCAGAUCAUACUGAAUUUCGUUCUAUCUUCCUUUCCAAAUGCUACCCAGAGAACUCCUCAAGAGGAGCAUGCGAUUUUGCAAAUAUUCAGUCCCUCUGGUCAGGAUGUGACUCAUGCUUCAAGGUGCUUUGCUGCAGGGAUGACCUCACUAGCCAAAUGGUAAUCCUAAAAUUUGGGAGGCACUAGGUGCUUUCUGUUAGCUGAGAGAUUGCGGAAAAUAGCAAUUUUUCGCCAAAAGCCGGCACCAGUAAGCUGCCGACAGAUGCGCCUCCCAACUCCAAAUGCCCCAUCUGCCUCGAUAGAUUUGACAACGUUGCAUAUCUCAACCACUGCUUGCAUAGGUUCUGCUUCUGCUGCAUCCAAGAAUGGCCGAAAAACAAAGCAGAAUGCCCGCUCUGCAAGCAGCCCUUUUUUUCCAUUUUCCAUACGAUUCGUGCUGAAGAUGACUUCAAGGAGUACAUACUCAGCCCUUUAGAAACAAGCUCUUUUGCCAGCCCCGAUGGCCGGAGGUUUCAUUAUCGCACUA